rnacentral:rRNA from 1 species
CAGUAGCCGCGGGAAUACGUAGGUGGCAAGCGUUGUCCGGAAUUAUUGGGCGUAAAGGGCUCGCAGGCGGUUUCUUAAGUCUGAUGUGAAAGCCCCCGGCUCAACCGGGGAGGGUCAUUGGAAACUGGGAAACUUGAGUGCAGAAGAGGAGAGUGGAAUUCCACGUGUAGCGGUGAAAUGCGUAGAGAUGUGGAGGAACACCAGUGGCGAAGGCGACUCUCUGGUCUGUAACUGACGCUGAGGGGCGAAAGCGUGGGGAGCGAACAGGAUUAGAGACCCCCGUAGUCCCUGUCUCUUAUAA